AGGUCUUGAAAUGCCAACCCUAUUGUCUGCUUCUAUAUUGGAAUGGCAUUGUCUUAGCUUGACACCCUUCAGGGACUUAAAAAGCCUAAGAUACCAUAGAUUUUUUUUUCUUCCCCUUUUCACUCAUUUCAUCUUCUCGACAGAACCGCGGGCACCUUUGUGAUAUUUGUUUUGCUAAGGGUCCUUUUAAAAAAUACCUUUGGGAGCGACGCACGCCUUUAAUCCUAGCACUUGAGAGGCAGAGGCAGGUGGAUUUCUGAGUUCGAGGCCAGCCUGGUCUACAGAGUGAGUUCCAGGACAGCCAGGGCUACACAGAGAAACCCUGUCUCGAAAACCUUCGGUAUAAAAUAUGGAAAUACUUUUAUAGCUGCUCCAGGUGCCUGAUAAUAAGCUUAUUUUUGGAAAGUGAUGUAAUACCUGAGCCGUGAACAGUGUGACCUCACUCUAGAGACAUGGUUGCCUUUGUAAAAGUAAACCAUAAAGCCAAAGGCUCUGAACCACUUGCUGUGAAUAGCAAAGUUGUUCUAGACUUUUCCAUGGGACUUACUUCUAAACCUUCACAAAAUUCUCAUCCUGAGGCAAACUCACAUGAAAGCACACUAAGGAGGGUUGGUGAGUUUAUACUGACAGGCUAAUAUUUAUCAGAAAUUUUCUGUAAGAUUUGUUUUGUUUUUGCAUGUCUCAUUGAUGGUACUUGACUUGUGAAGCAGGUAUCUAAAGAAUUUAGGAGAAAAUUUUGGCACUCAAAUAGUACAAGAAUCUGUACUUGUGUAAGUGCAGAAAUUAGCACUUUUUUGUUUUGUUAUUUUUGCAAUUGCAUGGUUUUUUUUUUACAAAUAAAAACUUUUGUAUUUAUGAAUUCAACAGUUAUUUAUUUCAUAAUUAAAUACUAGUUCACCCC
rnacentral:lncRNA from 1 species